UACAGAGGUCUCAAGCGUUGUUCGGAUUCAUUGGGCGUAAAGGGUGUGUAGGUGGCGCCGUAAGUCAGGUGUGAAAUUUCGGAGCUCAACUCCGAAACUGCAUUUGAUACUGCGGUGCUUGAGGACUGGAGAGGAGACUGGAAUUUACGGUGUAGCAGUGAAAUGCGUAGAUAUCGUAAGGAAGACCAGUGGCGAAGGCGGGUCUCUGGGCCGAUACUGACGCUGAGGAGCGAAAGCGUGGGGAGCGAACAGG
rnacentral:rRNA from 1 species